rnacentral:lncRNA from 1 species
UCUUUUAGAUGCACCCACUAGGCCUAUGUAAUAACAAUGACGAAGAGGACUUGUACGAAUAUGGCUGGGUAGGAGUGGUGAAGCUCGAACAGCCAGAAUUGGACCCCAAACCAUGUCUCACUGUCCUGGGCAAGGCCAAGAGAGCAGUUCAGCGGGGAGCUACUGCCGUUAUCUUUGACGUAUCUGAAAACCCAGAAGCCAUCGACCAGCUAAACCAAGGCUCUGAAGACCCCCUUAAGAGGCCAGUGGUGUAUGUGAAGGGUGCAGAUGCUGUCAAGCUGAUGAACAUUGUCAACAAGCAGAAAGUAGCUCGAGCAAGGAUCCAGCACCUCCCUCCUCGA